GACAAUGUAUAUGACAUUUGAUCGAUGGAGAAAGUUUCAUCAAACAAUUUGGCUUUUGCUUUUCCAUUUAGUCAGGGUCACUACUAGGCCGAGAAAUUGAACAUCACAUAUGCCAAUUUGCCUAUUUAAUUGGCAGCAGCAUAUAUACAUAUAUGUUUGAUCGAUAGUCAUAUGCAUGCGCCAUGCCAUCAAUGGCAACCCCCGCUUGUCCUUGAGAGCCAAGUGCCAUGACAAUGAACUGAUAUCACCAGUUGACUAGCACUAGCACUUG
rnacentral:lncRNA from 1 species